rnacentral:rRNA from 1 species
AGUGAACGCUGGCGGUAGGCCUAACACAUGCCAGCCGAACGGCAGCACAGUAAGAGCUUGCUCUUACGGGUGGCGAGUGGCGGACGGGUGAGGAAUACAUCGGAAUCUACUUUUUCGUGGGGGAUAACGUAGGGAAACUUACGCUAAUACCGCAUACGACCUACGGGUGAAAGCAGGGGAUCUUCGGACCUUGCGCGAUUGAAUGAGCCGAUGUCGGAUUAGCUAGUUGGCGGGGUAAAGGCCCACCAAGGCGACGAUCCGUAGCUGGUCUGAGAGGAUGAUCAGCCACACUGGAACUGAGACACGGUCCAGACUCCUACGGGAGGCAGCAGUGGGGAAUAUUGGACAAUGGGCGUAAGCCUGAUCCAGCCAUACCGCGUGGGUGAAGAAGGCCUUCGGGUUGUAAAGCCCUUUUGUUGGGAAAGAAAAGCAGCAGGUUAAUACCCCGCUGUUCUGACGGUACCCAAAGAAUAAGCACCGGCUAACUUCGUG